rnacentral:lncRNA from 1 species
CCAAACUGCCAAAUUGAGCGCCAAACUGACCUAGCUGAUUUGGGGAGCAACUGUUGUGAUAAAUUCCACGUGCCUAGUUACAUCUGAAAUGCUUGUUGGAAUAUGGAUUCCAGAGUCCUAUCUGCACAUAUUUUAACGUAUUCAAUCUGAUCGGGGGUCAAGGGAGUGUUAUUUCAGUGUUAUUUUUCUUGAUUAAGAGGUUUCCUUGGUUCAGUGGCCAAAGUUUGGAAAAUACUGCUUUGAGGAAUUCAGUCCCUUGAUAAAAAUGAAUAAAUAUAUACAACAGAAUUCCAGAGAUGUUAUUAAGAAAGCAUUAAAGGAGGUAUAUUUAAAUCUAUUUGCUUAACAUGAAGGUCUUCACAGAAGGGUAACAGCUGCUUUUUUGUUUCCAAAGAUCCAAAGAUCAAGAAAAGUGAGAACCAUUAUGAGCCAAAGUUCUAACACACAAAAGCAGAGAGGAAUGAUAUAGCCUCAGUAUUUGAGAAAAUGCAAGUAGAUUUUCAUAGUAAUUGAUAAAGCUAAAAACUGAAGAGAGGAAUUCUGAGUCCAAAUGAUAGAGCACCUUCAGUAACAAGAUAACCUUCAUCACUUGUGCUCUAGAAAGAGGACUCUUGCAGAUAUGAUGUAUGGAUUUAAAUGGAGCAAGAACGGAGGUGAGUUGUUAGUUUAGAAGGCUAAUCCCAAGAAUUAAAAGUGGGAACUGGGGGCAAGGCUGUCUAUGGAGAAAAGAAGCUAGGUUCAAGAAAAAUAAAAGCAUUAGUAAAUAUAUAUGUGUGUGUAUUUUUUUGUUGUUGUUGUUACUUGAGUGUAGUGGAUGAGGGAGAGGGACAUGUCAUAGGUGAUUUUGUCCUGAUGCAUGAUGGACUUACUUAGGACUUAGAAAACCAAGUAGAAGGUCAAGUAUGUUAGGAAAAAUGAUACAUGUACCUUUGAGUAAUUUCCUUUACUAUAUUUUCCUUACAAAUUUUUGCAAUAUAUCUCUAGCUGGAGAUAUCAAGUAGAUUUUUGGAAAUACAGGAGUAGCAAUCAGGAGUACUAUGUGGACUAGAGACACAAAAUUUGGAUUUCAUUAGUGAAACUCUAGACACGAUCUGGGGUGACUGAGGAGCAUGAGGGCUAAAUGCAGAAAUAUAAUGAACAAAUAGAAAGCUGAAUCUGACAGGUAAUUUAUGUAAAAAGAUAUGAUAUAGAGUGCUCCAGAAAUGUCAGCUUACUCCUCCUAACUCCAAAUAAAGACCAAAUAAAAUGGCAGAAAUUGUAAUCUAUUGGAAAUUUCAGAGAUGUAUAAAACUAGAAGGGUUGGAAAUAGAGAUUACAUGGUAGAGGAGAAACAUGAGGGUUGGAAUGCUCAGAGAUUACAUGGUGGAGGAGAAACAUGAACCACCCUUAAAAAUGCGUAGGAUUUGGCUAAGUUAAAGUGGGGAAACAUGCAGAUCAUAGAAGCCAUGUGUGUGGAAAUAUGAAGGUGGAGGUGUACAAUUUCUGUCUCAGAAAGACGUAAUGGACUCUUCCAGAUUCCUUGGCCAUAUCUGUGCAAAUUUUGAAGUAAAUGAUGAAGACUCUAAUUUUUAUGCUUCUUCUUUAACUUCCAGAGAUGAUGGUACAGUUGGGGCAAUGAUUAGAGAGGCGGGCUUUCUUACUAAAGAAGUUUUCUCUGACUAUGACAUCCUUGCAAAGUCACUGUUUAGAGAAGACUGGUCUGAGGGUGGUGCCAAGAAUGGUUUGGACAUGAAAAGGAUAUUGAGAUCAAAAAAUUAUGAGUGCUGAAACAAAAUUUUUAAAAAUAAUGAAACUUCUCUAAAUACGAGAGGGAAAUAUAGUCCCAUGGAAACUGGAGAAGCAUGUACUCUGUCAUGAGCAAGAACUUGUUUCCAAUUGUGGAUCUUCCCCUAUUUGCUGAAUGACUGUGUAUAUUUUGCUUAACCUCUCUGAGCUUCAGUUUCUUCAUAUAUUAAAGAAAUCUAAAGAAGAUUCUUACCUCAAAAGAAUGAUGUGAAAAUUGAAUGAAAUAUCUAUCGCAGGUAAGAUGCCUAAUGCUAUGUCUACAGUUUUCUCCUAUGUGGCCUAGGGUAAGUCAGCUACUCUUCUAAUACCUCUAUUUCCUAUAGCAUUGGAGACUUGGCCAGUUCAUAGGACACUAAUAUGUUUUAGAUAUUACCAUGAACGCAUUAACAGGAAUAUUGCUCACUCACUUCAAUAGCAAAUUUAGACAUAAAUUAUUAUGUGACCAGGUAGUAAGUCUAGUCUAUUGUAUGUUAUUAUGGUUAUGUUUCUGAACUCAGAGAUCAGAGAGCGAGAGAGCGAGAGAGAAUGAGAGAGAAAGGUGCGGGGGGGAGAGAGAAAGAGAGAGAGAGAGGAAAUCAGUUGAGUUCUCUGGACUAUAAGGAGGAACUCAUUCUCUAGUGGACUGGAUGGAAGCUCACCUCAAGUUACAUUUCAAAUGGUGCAUUGCACCUGCUCAUUCAUCAAGCUGCCAAGGGCUUGCUUUGCUGCCCUGUUUUGUUUUGUUUUGGUUUUUUUCUUCUUCUUCUUUUAAAACUCACACCUCUGCAGUGUCUUAAGUUGCUCUGCCUCAUAAUGAAAGUAACAUAGUAAAUCUUGCUUGAAUAAAAAUAGCUCCUAAUAUAUCAAGUAUAGAUGGAUGCCAAAAGGUGAGUUCUCACAGCUGAGUACAUUAGUUUCCAAAUAUUGCAAGUGAGCAUAUAGCUUCCCUUUCAUUUCUGACCAAUGUUAUUUUGUUUCUGAAUUGAUUCCACUAUGCAAUAAAAUAAAGACAAUUAUACAGGCCAAUAUAAUUCUCUUUGGGGAGAUAUCAGGAUAUUUUUCUUUAUUCUGUGCAGUACACAGUAAGAGAAAGUCAGCUUUAAACCUAUGGGACUCCAGGGCAGCUGUUGAAUCUCUGUCCUCCUCCCAUACCCAGACAGUGCUUUGCCGCUAGAAAUCACUAACCC